CUAAUGACUCACUGCUGAGGUCACAAAUCAUCAGGCAUCAGUCAUCUAUAAAAAUAAACAGCGUUGGCCCAGCAACAGACGGCACCCGGAGCUGACCCAGCAGCCCGGCCUCCUCU
rnacentral:lncRNA from 1 species